rnacentral:rRNA from 1 species
GAUGAACGCUGGCGGUAUGCUUAAUACAUGCAAGUCGUACGAAGGCUUUUAGCCUUAGUGGCGGACGGGUGAGUAACACGUGAGAAUCUGCCCUUAGGAGGAGGAUAACAGCUGGAAACGGUUGCUAAUACUCCAUAUGCCGAGAGGUGAAAGAAUUUAUUUGCCUAAGGAGGAGCUCGCGUCUGAUUAGCUAGUUGGUAGGGUAAUGGCCUACCAAGGCGACGAUCAGUAGCUGGUUUGAGAGGAUGAUCAGCCACACUGGGACUGAGACACGGCCCAGACUCCUACGGGAGGCAGCAGUAGGGAAUUUUCCGCAAUGGGCGAAAGCCUGACGGAGCAAUACCGCGUGAGGGAUGACGGCCUGUGGGUUGUAAACCUCUUUUCUCAAGGAAGAAGUUCUGACGGUACUUGAGGAAUAAGCAUCGGCUAACUCUGUG